rnacentral:rRNA from 1 species
UACCCCAAACCGACACAGGUGGUCAGGUAGAGAAUACUAAGGCGAUCGAGAGAACUGUGGUUAAGGAACUCGGCAAAAUGCCCCCGUAACUUCGGGAGAAGGGGGACCAGUCCUGGUGACGACAUUUACUGUCUGAGCUGGGGUUGGUCGCAGAGACCAGAGAGAAGCGACUGUUUACUAAAAACACAGGUCCGUGCGAAGUCGUAAGACGAUGUAUACGGACUGGCGCCUCCCCGGUGCUGGAAGGUUAAGAGGACCGGUCAGCCACUUCGGUGGCGAAGCUGAGAAUUUAAGCCCCAGUAAACGGCGGUGGUAACUAUAACCAUCCUAAGGUAGCGAAAUUCCUUGUCGGGUAAGUUCCGACCUGCACGAAUGGCGUAACGACUUCUCUGCUGUCUCAACCACAGACUCGGCGAAAUUGCAGUACGAGUAAAGAUGCUCGUUACGCGCGGCAGGACGAAAAGACCCCGGGACCUUCACUAUAGCUUGGUAUUGGUGUUCGGUUCGGUUUGUGUAGGAUAGGUGGGAGACUGUGAAACUCGCACGCCAGUGUGGGUGGAGUCAUUGUUGAAAUACCACUCUGACCGUAUUGGACAUCUAACCUCGGACCAUGAUCUGGUUCAGGGACAGUGCCUGGUGGGUAGUUUAACUGGGGCGGUUGCCUCCUAAAAAGUAACGGAGGCGCCCAAAGGUUCCCUCAGCCUGGUUGGCAAUCAGGUGUUGAGUGUAAGUGCACAAGGGAGCUUGACUGUGAGACGUACAUGUCGAGCAGGGACGAAAGUCGGGACUAGUGAUCCGGCACCGGCAAGUGGAAGCGGUGUCGCUCAACGGAUAAAAGGUACCCCGGGGAUAACAGGCUGAUCUUCCCCAAGAGUCCAUAUCGACGGGAUGGUUUGGCACCUCGAUGUCGGCUCGUCGCAUCCUGGGGCUGGAGUAGGUCCCAAGGGUUGGGCUGUUCGCCCAUUAAAGCGGCACGCGAGCUGGGUUUAGAACGUCGUGAGACAGUUCGGUCUCUAUCCGCCGCGCGCGUAAGAAACUUGAGGAAACCUGUCCCUAGUACGAGAGGACCGGAACGGACGAACCUCUGGUGUGCCAGUUGUUCCACCAGGAGCACCGCUGGUUAGCUACGUUCGGAAGGGAUAACCGCUGAAAGCAUCUAAGCGGGAAGCCUGUUCCAAGAUGAGGUUUCUCACCACCUAGCGUGGUUAAGGCCCCCCACAGACCAUGGGGUUGAUAGGCCAGAACUGUAAGCACAGCAAUGUGUUCAGGUGACUGGUACUAAUCGGCCGAGGACUUAC